GUCAGAAACCCCACCGCUAAAGCGGGGGGCGCAGAAAUUGUCCUUAUCUGACCAGACUCAGUACCCAAAAAGUACUACGUUAGAGGCAAGAGUUAAAGACCUACCAAGGGAUGCUCCCGCUAGUCCCUUGCUCUAGAACCGAACGAUUAAACAGGCUUAAAGGGGUUAAACCAGUGUCGUUGGGAUAGUUACAGACGUCUAACAUUGUCGUUCGCCCUUGGCGUUGCCGAAGGCUAGCUAACAUUAC
rfam:Mastigocladus laminosus TT774 scaffold_13, whole genome shotgun sequence.